rnacentral:tRNA from 1 species
ACCCCGAUAGUGUAAUUGGCAGCACCAGAGAUUUUGGUUCUUUUAGUCGAGGUUCGAAUCCUUGUCGGGGUG